GGGCCCGCACAAGCGGUGGAGCAUGUGGUUUAAUUCGAUGCAACGCGAAGAACCUUACCUGGCCUUGACAUCCUGCGAACUUUCUAGAGAUAGAUUGGUGCCUUCGGGAACGCAGUGACAGGUGCUGCAUGGCUGUCGUCAGCUCGUGUCGUGAGAUGUUGGGUUAAGUCCCGCAACGAGCGCAACCCUUGUCCUUAGUUGCCAGCAUUCAGUUGGGCACUCUAAGAGACCGCCGGUGACAAAACCGGAGGAAGGUGGGAUGACGUCAAGUCAUCAUGGCCCUUAUGGCCAGGGCUACACACGUGCUACAAUGGCAAGUACAGAGGGCAGCGAAGCCGCGAGGUGAAGC
rnacentral:rRNA from 1 species